GACGAACGCUGGCGGCGUGCCUAAUACAUGCAAGUUGAGCGCUGAAGGUUGGUACUUGUACCGACUGGAUGAGCAGCGAACGGGUGAGUAACGCGUGGGGAAUCUGCCUUUGAGCGGGGGACAACAUUUGGAAACGAAUGCUAAUACCGCGUAAAAACUUUAAACACAAGUUUUAAGUUUGAAAGAUGCAAUCGCAUCACUCAAAGAUGAUCCCGCGUUGUAUUAGCUAGUUGGUGAGGUAAAGGCUCACCAAGGCGAUGAUACAUAGCCGACCUGAGAGGGUGAUCGGCCACAUUGGGACUGAGACACGGCCCAAACUCCUACGGGAGGCAGCAGGAGGGAAUCUUCGGCAAUGGACGAAAGUCUGACCGAGCAACGCCGCGUGAGUGAAGAAGGUUUUCGGAUCGUAAAACUCUGUUGGUAGAGAAGAACGUUGGUGAGAGUGGAAAGCUCAUCAAGUGACGGUAACUACCCAGAAAGCCACGGCUAACUACGUGCCAGCAGCCGCCGUAA
rnacentral:rRNA from 1 species